rnacentral:rRNA from 1 species
AGAGUUUGAUCAUGGCUCAGAUUGAACGCUAGCGGGAUGCCUUACACAUGCAAGUCGAACGGCAGCACGGACUUCGGUCUGGUGGCGAGUGGCGAACGGGUGAGUAAUAUAUCGGAACGUGCCCAGUAGCGGGGGAUAACUACGCGAAAGCGUGGCUAAUACCGCAUACGCCCUAAGGGGGAAAGCGGGGGAUCUUAGGACCUCGCACUAUUGGAGCGGCCGAUAUCGGAUUAGCUAGUUGGUGAGGUAAUGGCUCACCAAGGCGACGAUCCGUAGCUGGUUUGAGAGGACGACCAGCCACACUGGGACUGAGACACGGCCCAGACUCCUACGGGAGGCAGCAGUGGGGAAUUUUGGACAAUGGGGGAAACCCUGAUCCAGCCAUCCCGCGUGUGCGAUGAAGGCCUUCGGGUUGUAAAGCACUUUUGGCAGGAAAGAAACGUCAUGGGUUAAUACCCUGUGAAACUGACGGUACCUGCAGAAUAAGCACCGGCUAACUCCGUGCCAGCAGCCGCGGUAAUACGGAGGGUGCGAGCGUUAAUCGGAAUUACUGGGCGUAAAGCGCGCGUAGGCGGUU